CGCGGCUCUACGUUGGGCUGACGCACUGAGUGCUACGCUUGGACAGAUGCGGGCGCCGAACACAUAACUUAAGCUUAGCCUUAACGAGCCUUAAAGGGUUGUGACAAGGGGUUGGUUGAUGAAACUGAGUUCCCAGUUUCUUUCGUCCCCCUUUGUGAGAUAUUGAUACCGGCUUCCGGCGAGCUGCACCAGGCGGGGGUGCUGCCCCAAAUUGAUCGGGGCGGUGCAGCGGGAUUGGCCGGUGCAUGUCCGUUAGGCAGGAUGGAAUGGCAACCACUGCAACUUCCACCUUCUGUGGGCCCAGCUGCCCAAAGCGGACCUCUCAGCAGGAUGGGCCAACCACCCUUUAGGAAACCCAAGGUGCAGCUGAGCUGUGAUGUUUGUAAUAAGGACUUCAGCGGCCAGGCAGCCCGGGAUGCUCACAUGGCUGGCGCCAAACACGCACGCAUGGUGAAAUCGAAGCAGAUACUUGCAGAUCUCAAAGAGCAAGGACGGGAAAUUCCCACGUUGCCGAGUGGAAACUCCAUGUUUCGGUGUGCGGCUUGCGAUAUAAUUCUGAACUCAUCGCAGCAGCUAUCAACGCACCUCAAUGGCAGUAAGCACAAGCUAAAAGAGCAGGCGAACAACAGUAAGGCCGCGAUAGUGCUGGCCCCGCGCACCUCGUUCGUACCUGCCACGGC